ensembl:snRNA U6 U6 spliceosomal RNA
GUGCUCACUUUGGCAGUACAUAUACUACAAUUGGAACAAUACAGAGAUUGGCAUGGCCCCUACGUAAGGAUGACAAGCAAAUUCAUGAAGCAUUCCAUAUUUUU